rnacentral:rRNA from 1 species
AGUGAACGCUGGCGGUAGGCCUAACACAUGCAAGUCGAACGGCAGCACAGUAAGAGCUUGCUCUUACGGGUGGCGAGUGGCGGACGGGUGAGGAAUACAUCGGAAUCUACUUUUUCGUGGGGGAUAACGUAGGGAAACUUACGCUAAUACCGCAUACGACCUACCGGUGAAAGCAGGGGAUCUUCGGACCUUGCGCGAUUGAAUGAGCCGAUGUCGGAUUAGCUAGUUGGCGGGGUAAAGGCCCACAAAGGCGACGAUCCGUAGCUGGUCUGAGAGGAUGAUCAGCCACACGGGAACAGAAAAAGGGUCAAGACUACUAAGAGAGGCAGCAGUGGGGAAUGUUGGACAAUGGGCGCAAGCCUGAACGAAACAUACCGCGUGGGUGAAGAAGGCCUUCGGGUUGUAAAGACCUUUUGUUGGGAAAGAAAAGCAGCAGGUUAAUACCCCGCUGUUCUGACGGUACCCAAAGAAUAAGCACCGGCUAACUUCGUG